rnacentral:Y_RNA from 1 species
GGUUGGUUCUCUGAGUGCAGUGGUGUUACCAACUAAUUGAUCACAAUCAGUUACAGAUCCCUUUGUUCCUUCUCACUCUCGCUGUUUCACUUGACCAGCCUUAA